ensembl:lncRNA
GUUUAAUAUCUUUGUUGAUGACCUAGAUGAAGGGAUUGAGCAUACCCUGAGUAAGUUUGCAGAUGACACCAAGUUGGGAAGUAGUGUCAAUCUGCCUGAGGGUAGGGAGGCCCUGCAGAGGGAUCUAGAUAAGCUGGAUCACUGGGCUGAGGUGAAUGGGAUGAGGUUUAACAAGGCCAAGUGUCGGGUCCUGCACUCUGGCCACAAUAACCCCUUGCAGCACUAUAGGCUUGGGGAUGAGUGGUUGGAUGACUGUGAAGAGGAAAGGGACUUGGGGGUGUUGGUUGAUGCUCGGCUGAACAUGAGCCGACAGUGUGCCCAAGUGGCCAAGAGGACCAAUGGCAUCCUGGCCUGUAUUAGAAAUAGUGUGACCAGCAGGAGCAGGGGGGUAAUCGUCCCCCUGUACUCGGCACUAGUGGUUGGUUUUGGGCCCCUGUAGUGGAAUUCCAGGGUCACAUCCUGAACCAAUGGGUGGGCUAUGUGAGUGUGUGAGUGGCUGGAAUGGGGGGUGGUGGUCUGGAGCCACCCCUUCUGUCUCUGCAAUACUUCCUGUGCAGUCUGAGUCUGCGCGGGUCCCUCUCUUUGCCCCCGCCCUUCUCUCCGGCGGCGCGACGGUACAAAUGGGGGAGCGACACAUUCCUCAGCUCGUCUCUCUCUGCACGCUGUUACCAGGAGGGGAGACCAGCUCUCCUACUGGCAGACCCCGUAUGCUAAUGGACUCUUGGAAAUGUAAUGAAUAUGUAUACGAAUUCUGGGUAAAUCAUUGAUUAUGUAUUAGUUCUGCCUAUAUCUGUACCAAGCUUUUGUCCUACAGUGUGCAAGUCAGGAGGAGUGAUCCCCCUUGCACCCAGCACUCGCGCAUCGCUGAAUAAAUGCAUACCUGCUUUAUAACCUAACUCUGGGUUAUAGAGUUUGACUCCACAAGUCAGAGGUGUUGACUCAAGACCAAAAUACAGCCUGUAUCUUACCAUGGAGGGCAGAACUACCCCUCCUUGUACCUAUUAAACAUCUGUUUUACUCCCCUUGAGGUUAUAAGUUCACAGGACAGCCGGCAGGAGCAACAUCACUCCAGGUUGCUUCGGUGUCCAUGAGGAAACAUCAUGACACCCUGUGGUGCACAGCUGAACUUUUGGGAACUGGCGAGCAUGUAUCAGAACUGCUACUGGUCCUUGAAGAAGGUAUGCCUCAAGAAAGAACAUCAAGUGCUGGCCCAACAGAACCGCAGAAAAGACUGCCAAUAAUUGCCUUUAUUGUCUUAACAUUCUACACUGCGGUGGGUAUUGUACAUGUGUCACAAUGUGCAUUGUAUUUUCCAAUUUCCAGCCACGAAACUGCAGGAGCUCACCCCCUACCUGCUCAGUCAUUGGUUCAUACUGUGAAGGGGUGGAGUGUAGUGGAAUUUCAAGGUCACAGCCUGAACCAAUACAUGAGCAUGUGACUGCCUGGAGUGGGGGAGGACGGGCUAGCGCUAUGUUUUUUGUCUCAGUGAUGCUUCUGGGAGCAUGUGUGCAAUCUGAGCCUGCGCGGGUUCCCCUUCCCCCACCCUUCUCUCUUGUGGCGCGAGUAUGAAUGGGAGAAAGCUGCAUUCCUCAGCUCGCCCCUUUCUCCAGACUGUUACUGGGAGGGGCGUCAUGGUUUUAUGAUUCUUGUUUAUUGGUAUUCCACAUCAUAACAUCAUGUAGUGCACUGUGAGUUAAAGAGUUAAUGCUCCAGUUCUGGGCACCUGUCUGCUAGAGAAGAGCUACAUUGCUGCAGAGCUGAUUGCUGUUUAGACCAGCUUCAGGGCAGUUCUGUCUUGUAGCAUCAUCCAUCACAAAGACCUGUCAAGGCAACAGCCUGGAGGCACUUCACAGCAACCCUCAGGGUUCCCUACACUGUGUCUACCCAGUCAUCCUAACUACCUGAAGACUGACAGUAGUGUGCUGAGAGCUAAGAGAAGAAAUUCAGGUCACAUCUAAUCGUGGAGAGAUAGUAUUAGUCCUGUACAACACACAGAACUAAGUUAUAUUCAGUGCUGGCAGUUCAUAGAAUCAUAGAAUGGCCUGGGUUGAAAAGGACCACAAUGAUCAUCGAGUUUCAACCCCCCUGCUAUGUGCAGGGUCGCCAACCAGCAGACCAGGCUGCCCAGAGCCACAUCCAGCCUGGCCUUGAAUGCCUCCAGGGAUGGGGCACCCACAGCCUCCUUGGGCAACCUGUUCCAGUGCAUCACCACCCUCUGGGUAAAAAACUUCCUCCUAAAGUUCUAAUAUCCAGACCUCCUUUCAAGCAAUAAAAAGCCUUUUGGAUUUGUUGGUUUCCAAUAAAAAAUACGAAUUUCUUAUUUUUAUUUUAUACUUUUUUUUUUUUUUUAAUUAUUAGAGCCUUACUAGAUUUCCCACUACAAGGCAAAUAUUCUGAUUGGUACAGUUUACACGAGGAGUGAAGCAAAAGAUGACUCAGUCAUCAUAUGUAAAUGACUCCAUGGAGGACAAGUAAAUUACUUUAUUAGGUGGACACUUUCCCAUGCAACUUACUCUAGUGAACCUGCUUUAGCAGGAGGUUGGGCUAAGCGACCUCCAGAGGUCCCUUCCAAACCCUGUGAUUCUGUGAUCUCCCUAGGCUAGGUCAAAGUAGAAAACAUGAGGUUGUAGCCAAGCAAAUCUAGACUAACUGC